AGAAAAAAAAAAAAAAAAAAAAACCCAGAGGGAAGGUGUGAGAGCCGGAGGCUGCCAGAGCCUGCUGGUUCUCAGAGCUGGGAGCACUGGAGCAUGAGCACCAUGAAGCACAGCUGUGGGGUGGAGCAAAGUCCAACCGGAGGUUAAGGAUCAUAAAGUGCACCCCCCCCCCCACGGCGCUGUAUCCCUCCUGACUCUCUGGAGAUCGCAUCAGAAAACUAUUGAUUGCUCAAUCAUACAAACCGCAAGAAUAAAGAUAAUGAGGCUGCAGGCCCAGACGCCUUUGUAAUUUACACGGCACGUUCCUUAAACCCCUGCCCUUUAUCUGAAGUUGGCACCAGGGACCAUGGGGGCGAGUCAGAGUUUUCAUGACAGCGUAUGGUUUUCAAGGCAUUUAACACACGUUGCCUCAUCGAAUCUUCAGAACAACCCGAGAGAUAGAAUAAUGUUUUUCUUCAUUUUUAUGAAUAAAGAGAACACAAACAAAACCAAGGCUUCGAGAAGUCAUGGUGUUACUGCCUGAGGUCAGUCACCGGGAAGGAACGCAGACUGUCAGGAGCUCGGGAAAGUAACAAAGAGACUCUGAGUCUUGACCAACAAAGUAGAUGGCCAGCCCAGAAAGCAGCAAUCCUGCGGUCCCGUUAACAUGAAAAGAAGUGGUGCGCAUACAAAGAUGAAAAAGAAAUGGAAGUCCUUGUUUGAAUAUUUUCAGAAAUAGCCAGCCUUGUUUGUUGUAACCUAAAAGCAUAUCUUAAGGUAAAAAGGGUCUAAAAGCCGAAUAAAUCUCAAAGAUAAAAAGAA